rnacentral:rRNA from 1 species
UACGGAGGGGGCUAGCGUUGCUCGGAAUUACUGGGCGUAAAGCGCACGUAGGCGGCUUUGUAAGUUAGAGGUGAAAGCCCGGGGCUCAACCCCGGAAUAGCCUUUAAGACUGCAUCGCUUGAACACGGGAGAGGUGAGUGGAAUUCCGAGUGUAGAGGUGAAAUUCGUAGAUAUUCGGAAGAACACCAGUGGCGAAGGCGGCUCACUGGACCGUUGUUGACGCUGAGGUGCGAAAGCGUGGGGAGCAAACAGG